rnacentral:lncRNA from 1 species
GGACAGAAUAAUCUGCCACAGCCUACUGAUAGCAGGCUGCAGAAGCAAACCUAGUUUUGGCGACAGGUGACUUCUGAUGGAAUGAAACUGUGGCCACCAGCAUCUGUAGUGGGAAACUAGAAAUAAGCAGUCAAGAGGGCCUGGACACCAGGUCAACGAAACGCUAAAGGGCGAAAGAUUCUACUGCCAGCCAGGCCUCCUCUGCCU